GCCAGGGGUGGUGGCACGUGCCUGUAGUCUCAGCUAUUCAGAGACUGAGGCAGGCAGAUCCCUUGAGCCCAGGAGUUCUGAGCUAUAGUGCUCUAUGCCAACUGGGGGUCCAGACACUAAGUCUGGCAUUAAUAUGGUAACCUCCUGGGAGCAGGGGACCACCAGGUUGCCUAAGGAGGGGUGAACUAGCCCAGGUUGGAAAUGGAGCAGGUCAAAAUGCUGGUGCUGAUCAGUAGUGGGAUUGCGCCUGUGAAGAGCCACUGCACUCCAUUCUGGGCAACGUAGCGAGAACCCGUAUCU
rnacentral:SRP_RNA from 1 species